UACGUAGGGGGCUAGCGUUGUCCGGAUUUAUUGGGCGUAAAGAGCGUGUAGGCGGCCAGGUAGGUCCGUUGUGAAAACUCGAGGCUCAACCUCGAGACGUCGGCGGAAACCAUCUGGCUAGAGUCCGGAAGAGGAGAGUGGAAUUCCUGGUGUAGCGGUGAAAUGCGUAGAUAUCGGGAGGAACACCAGAGGCGAAGGCGGGCUACUGGGCCGAUACUGACGCUGAUGCGCGAAAGCCAGGGGAGCAAACGGG
rnacentral:rRNA from 1 species